AGUCACUGACAUUAGAUACCCCCUGUAGUCCAGGGUGUAAACGCUGCAGACUUGGUGUUGGAAGCCCUUUGGGGGCAUUCAGUGCCGGAGAGAAGUUGUUAAGUCUGCUACUUGGGGAGUACGUCCGCAAGGAUGAAACUUAAAGGAAUUGGCGGGGGAGCACCGCAACGGGAGGAGCGUGCGGUUUAAUUGGAUUCAACACCGUAAACUCACCAGGGAAGACUGUUACAUGAAGGCCGAGAUGAAGACUCUGCUAGAUUUUCAG
rnacentral:rRNA from 1 species